GACGAACGCUGGCGGCGUGCCUAAUACAUGCAAGUCGAGCGCAGGAAAUCGACGGAACCCUUCGGGGGGAAGUCGACGGAAUGAGCGGCGGACGGGUGAGUAACACGUAAAGAACCUGCCCUCAGGUCUGGGAUAACCACGAGAAAUCGGGGCUAAUACCGGAUGGGUCAUCGGACCGCAUGGUCCGAGGAUGAAAGGCGCUCCGGCGCCGCAGGGGGAUGGCUUUGCGGUGCAUUAGCUAGUUGGUGGGGUAAUGGCCCACCAAGGCGACGAUGCAUAGCCGACCUGAGAGGGUGAUCGGCCACACUGGGACUGAGACACGGCCCAGACUCCUACGGGAGGCAGCAGUAGGGAAUCUUCCACAAUGGACGAAAGUCUGAUGGAGCAACGCCGCGUGAACGAUGAAGGCCUUCGGGUCGUAAAGUUCUGUUGUAAGGGAAGAACAAGUGCCGCAGGCAAUGGCGGCACCUUGACGGUACCUUGCGAGAAAGCCACGGCUAACUACGUGCCAGCCGCCGCCGUAACAC
rnacentral:rRNA from 1 species